UACGGAGGGAGCUAGCGUUGUUCGGAAUCACUGGGCGUAAAGGGCGCGUAGGUGGCCUGAUAAGGGUGUGGUGAAAGUCCGGGGCUCAACCCCGGAUCUGCCGUGCCGACUGUUAGGCUAGAGUACUGUAGGGGCAGGCGGAAUUCCAGGUGUAGCGGUGAAAUGCGUAGAUAUCUGGAGGAACACCGGUGGCGAAGGCGGCAUCCUGGACCGGCAUUGACGCUGAGGAGCGAAAGCCAGGGGAGCAAACGGG
rnacentral:rRNA from 1 species